UGCGUCACUUCCGGAAGGCAGGUCUCUAGCGGACGGCGCUCCGGGAGCGGGCGGUCUCCAUGGCAACCAGCAGGCCCCGACCCAGUUGCCUGGUUUUCUGCUGCUGUCUCGCCGUCCGCGCCCGCACAAAGACCGCGCGGUGACCGCGCAGUGCCACGACCCCACCACUCCAGCCCCGCGGGAACCGCAGCCGCCGCCGCCGCCGCCCGGGAAGCAGUUCCGGCGGGCACCGUGACGCACAGGUCGGGCGCGGCCCCGACCCGCGGGCCAUCUUGGCAGCGAAGGGAGCGGCGGAGCGACAGGUACACGUACCGCCUGGCGGGGACCAGCCCAGGUGCGGCUGUCUUUGUUCUCUCGCAGGUAGUCGCGUGGCACCCGCGGGCAGCGCCUUGACCCGCAGCCCGAGCUCCGGCAGGUGCAUUCCGCCCAGUCUGGGCAGCGCAGCUCUGCGCAUCCCGUGAGGCCUGGGCAAGUCCAGCCUAUGCAUCCUGCGAGGCCUGGAAAGAUCCAACCCCGCUCAUCCCGGAAGACCUGGGUUGGUCUUGCUCACUCAUGUUGCAAGGCCUGGGUAGGUCCAGCUUGUGCAUCCUGCGAGGGUUGAGCAGGUCCAGCUCGAACAUCCUCCAAGGCCUGGUCAGGUCCAGCCAGCGCCCCACACUCUGACCCUGCAAAGCCUGCAGAAAGGAGCUGUGCCCAGUGCAGGACCAGCAUCCCCAGGCGUGCCCUCCCAGAUUCUGCCUGGGCGCACCUGCUUCGGCACCCAAGGCCUUUUGCUCUGGUUCUCCAGCUCGCUGUGACUUGCCUUUGGCCAGUAUGGUCCAACCUCAGACCACCAAAACCGAAAGCUCAGCCUCUGCUCCUGGUGCCAGCGCACAGAUGGAUGAUGUGGUUGACACCCUGACCUCCCUGCGCCUCACCAACUCUGCUCUAAGGCGUGAGGCCUCCACACUGAGGGCCGAGAAGGCCAACCUCACCAACAUGCUGGAGAGCGUGAUGGCCGAGCUUACCCUGUUGCGCACUAGGGCACGCAUCCCCGGCGCUCUGCAGAUCACUCCACCUAUCUCUGCCAUCACCUCCAACGGGACCCGACCCAUGACCACGCCACCCACGUCACUGCCUGAACCCUUCUCCGGAGACCCCGGCCAGCUGGCGGGGUUCCUGAUGCAGAUGGACAGGUUCAUGAUCUUUCAAGCCUCCCGCUUCCCGGGUGAAGCAGAGAGAGUUGCCUUCCUGGUGUCCCGACUGACUGGGGAAGCGGAGAGGUGGGCCAUCCCUCACAUGCAGCCUGACAGCCCUUUGCGCAACAACUACCAGGGGUUUCUGGCUGAGUUGCGCAGAACCUACAAAUCCCCGCUGAGGCACUCAAGGCGUGCACAAAUCCGGAAGACUUCGGCAUCCAAUAGGGCUGUGCGGGAGAGGCAGAUGUUAUGCCGCCAGCUGGCCACAGCUAGCACAGGACCCUGUCCGGUGCAUCCAGCCUCCAAUGGGACCAGUCCGGCCCCAGCCUUGCCUACUCGCAGCCGGAACCGUUAGGGACCUGUAGCCUCCCAGGUAGCUAGACUGUUGCUGAGAAGAAUUGUCAAUAUGGUAGCAUUGUCCUGUUUGCAGACACCUUUCACACCUUUCCUGGUCUAUGGGAGGCCAUCCCGCCAUCCUCACUGGUCAUCCACCCUGCUGUGCGGUUUUUUUGUUUUUGUUUUUGUUUUUUGCUAGCUUUACCUGCAACUCAGUGCAUGCUCCCCUCUCUGUCGCUGGCAAUCCAAGCUUCUGUAGUAAUCACAACACAACGCUUUGGACAUGUGCCUGCCUAAGCAUCAUUUAGGCUGACCACCUCUGUGGGCUCGCCUAGUAGACAUUCAGCUUCUGUGUACUCUAUAAGCACCCUGGUGGUUCCCUUCCUGGUCACUCUGGUCUUGCUGAUGAGUUCUGAAUAGAAAGAAGCCAACUUGGCCCUGUAGGUGGCUGAUGUGUACCUAAACCAGUCUGCCUACAUCUGGUCAUUUGGGAAGGUAGUCACUCUGCAUUCCAGGGAUCCUUUCCCUUAUGAGGGAGCCUGCAUUUCAGCAUACCCCACUGCUGUUGCUGGGAAGGCCUGGUCCUUCAUAGACAUUCCUGCCCCUCCCAUCCACAGGAGACUUGUUCACACCCGUCACCGUCAGUGUUCUGGAAGGCAUCAGGGAAAUCUAGCAUUCGUCUGUGGAGUUAAUUGUGGACACAGGACCCUGGGCAGUUCCAUCAGGCUUCCACAGGCAACAGAUUCCUGAUGUCCAUGCAUCAGCUAUAGCAGACUCAGCCUGAGGGGGACCCUGAAGGCCCCAUUUGCUGCCGGGAUUUUUGUUGAGAGGCUCAUAGUCGUCUGUCUGCUCGUGCCUGCCCACGUGGCUCUAUCGUGGGCCUUGUCUAGCCACAGACUCUUCCACCCAGGGAAAGUGGCUUUCACUUGGCCUAUUAUCCACCCACACCAUCUCUAAGGGUCCAAGGAACCCACGUGACAUAUACCCUCUCUGUGCCUGGGCCUGAUGGCUAACCUUUGUCCAAGAACAAAAGACUGGCUGGGGGCCAGCCCCUGUGGAAGACAUGGAGCACCUUCAGUAGGGGGUGUUGGCCUCUUGCUGAAGAAAUGUCGAAGAGCAGCCAAGCAGCUUUGGUCCUCAUGUGGACACACAUUCCCAUUCUGAGGAGCAAGGUGUUGACCUCUUUGAAGAAGGAUGCCUGGAGAUCAUACUCAGAGUCAGCCAAGCCCCUGGACAGUGACAUCUGUCACAUUUCAAUGCCAAAUUAACUGUGUUUACAUGCCCACUUGGCCCCUUGGGGGAGACGGGUGCCUCUCCUGGGUUUUUCUGCCCUCCUCUGCAUGGUCUUGGCUUGACCACAAAAAAUCGCCUCUGCACCCACCCAAAUACACCUCUCCCCUCUCGGGAGUUCAGAGGCGGGGCCGGGAAUCUGGCCUCUUUCAGAGACUUCCUCUGUCCUUGGGAAGAGUGACUGAUUCCAAAGCAGCCACCCUUGUAAGGCCAGGAGUCUUCAUUCAGUGCUCGCUGGGCUUGCAGCCCACAGCCACCUGCUUCUCGUUAACUCUAUUAACCCAGCAGUCUUGCUGAACAGUUUAGACCGAGGCACCCUGCUGGCACCAUGGUGCUUCCUAAGCAGGCAGAAGACUCCCCGACGGUCCCAUUGAGAAUGCUCACUGGUUCCCAACAGCUGAGUCUCAGGAUCUUCCAGUAGACGGGACCCCAGGUGAAGCCACAGCUUCACCAGAAAAGGUUUCUUUGUGGCCUUCUCAACCAGGAUUAGAGACCCAUUGGGAGGCAUGUCACCUGCCCUGGCUCCUUGGACCAAUGGGUGAUGUAUUUGUGUUAGGUUCUGCUUCAGAGUCCUCAGCUGGUGCUGGAGCCAGAGCCAUGCUGGCCAGAUGUCUCCUGAUAUGGCUUUACUAUCUCCUUUCACCAUCUGGGUCCACGCUGCUGCUCUGGUGGCAUUGGCUUGGUGGUUUUUUUGUUUAUUUGUUUGUUUUGUUUUUCUUGGUGUUUGUGUUUGUGGAAAUGGGGCAGUGCUGCCCUGUAUUUAGAACCAUCUCGAUAGCUCUGUGGCUUGGAGCCUGGAGCACAUGAGAGAGGGUUGAGGCUUGCCCUCCACGUAGGAUCUGGAAGAACCACUUUGGAUCUGUUGCUAAGGAACCCCAUGGUGGUCCUAGUAGGGGGCAUGGUUAGUCCCCAGCCAAAAUGACAAGAUGCAAGGCCCGUGCAGCUCCAGAGGGAGGCUGUGGUAACUGGGCAUCAAGCUGAGGAAGAGGGGGAGGGGAAGCUUUGUACAUAUCUUAAGGUUAUAGUUUCUUGAGCUCAGAAGAGCACUGGGAGAGGGGGAUGGAGGAGUUGUGAAUGAAGGAGUGUGGCCUUUCAGCAUGGACUGUUGCGGCAAUACUGUGCCUGCUCCCCAGACUCUGUGAUACCCAUCUGGUCACCAGGCUUUACUGUAUUCAGAAUCUAACUGACAGUGCGACCUGGCAUGAGGGUGACUCCCCAGCCUGGUGUAUAAUGUGACCUUGGGAUUAUCUUCAUGUCCCAAAGCAUUUAGUGGCUUUGAGGAAAUAGCAAAGACCCAUCUCCUUGACCCCAGCUGAGUAUAUGACAGGUGUGACUGCUGUGUGGUAGUACAUUUGGGCUGGCUGAGAUAGGUCCUAUUGAUGCAGAGGACAGCCACUGCUGGAUGAGCGUGCCCCCAGUAUCAGCCUGCAGGGGAGUGGAUGGAGGUGGGGAAGCUUUCGUGGGCUGAGGGUAACUUAGGAAGCAAGCCUGGGGCGUGGCUGGAGCACACUGGGGACAGGGUGUUAGGUGGCAGGGGCUCUCAAGUGUCCUGCGUGUGAUAAGUCGGUUGCCCUUUGCUCUGGAGGGUUCUGUCAGGAGAUUUGCUUGGACAUCACGGCCUGAGGCUUGAGGUAGGAAGUGAGAACUGGAGGUUGGGCCAGUGGGCAAGCUUCCCAGUGUUGGGGAGGUCCUCGCCUUUAACAUCUCUUUAGGACCUCAAGUUGGACUUGGUGGCGGCUGGUCUACCACAGAAGGUAGAGCUAAAGAGAGGAGUCCCCAUUCAGUGCCACCAACAGCUGGACCAGAGCUUCCCAUUCUCCAGGGCAGCACGCAUCAGACUGCCGAUGUCCUUUGCUCCACUGAUGGGCCUGACCAGUUUGUAAGAGCUCCGUAUGCAAUUAAAGAUACUAAGUGUUGUGUGUCGUA